ACGGAAGGCAGCAGUGAGGAAUAUUGGUCAAUGGGCGGAAGCCUGAACCAGCCAAGUCGCGUGAAGGAUGAAGGUAUUAUGUAUUGUAAACUUCUUUAGACGUAGAGAAAUAAGGGGGUCGUGAUCCCUGAUGCUAGUAUACGUAGAAUAAGGAUCGGCUAACUCCGUGCCAGCAGCCGCGGUAAUACGGAGGAUCCGAGCGUUAUCCGGAUUUAUUGGGUUUAAAGGGUGCGCAGGCGGCUUUUUAAGUCAGUGGUUAAUUCGUGGAGCUUAACUCCAUCCCGCCAUUGAUACUGGAGAGCUUGAUUGCGGUUGAGGUUGGCGGAAUUCGCCGUGUAGCGGUGAAAUGCAUAGAUAUGGCGAAGAACUCCGAUUGCGUAGGCAGCUGACCAAGCCGUAAAUGACGCUCAUGCACGAAAGUGCGGGGAUCGAACAGGAUUAGAUACCCUGGUA
rnacentral:rRNA from 1 species